rnacentral:lncRNA from 1 species
AUGCGCGGGGUGCAGGGGCCGCGUGCUCGAGGAGCCCGACGCCGAGGCCCCGCCCCCGCCCCGCCCCGCCCCGCCCCCGGGCCUCGGGGGCACGUGGUCGCCUCCAGGCCUCGCUCGUGCCCGCGCCGGGCUCGGGCGCUGCCUCCGCCCCGCCCGCUUGCGCUUCUCUUCUCUCCCACCGCCGCUGUCAACGCCGUCGUCGCCCGGGGCCGCGCCUCGAGGAAGGUGCGCGUGACCUCCGCCGCCCUGCGGCCCGGGGGGCUGCCGAGCCCUGGCCCAACCCGGGGAGGCCCGCGUCGUGGGCGCCGAGAAGCAGGACCGGCCCGGCAGCGGCUGCACCUGCUGGGCCCGGCCCCGCCACUCGUGCCCCCCGCCCCCCGCCCCCGGCCCCGCCCGGGUAAAAAGCCAUAUGCGCGGAGUCCCGCGUGCGCCGAGCCUCCCCCCACACGGAGCCCGGCAGGAGGCAGGCGGGCGAGCGAGGGCCCCGCGCCCCGGAGCCGCCCUGCGCCCCCUGCGCCUGCCCCCUGCGCCCCGCAGCCGCCCUGCACCCGACCCCCCGCCCCGGAGCCGCCCCGCGCCCCCUGUGCCCCGCCCCCCGCGGCCGCCCUUCGCCUCCCGCCCGGCCCGGGGGAGCUCAGCUGGGUCCGUGCCGAGCCCAGAGUCGCGCCCGCGGGGGCCGUGGGAGCUGCGGGGGACGCGCUUCGGGUGCGGGGACUCCUCGCCCAGCCCCAGAGCUGCGGGUCCCGGGGCGUCUCCGCGCCUUCCCCACGGACCGUGUGCCCAGGCCCCGCGGAGCCCACGCCCUCCCUUUGCGCCCCGCGCGUUCCGCCGCCCGAGAUGCUGCUCUGCCCGCGGAGCCCAACGGCCGCCGCCCCCCGAGGGCCGCAAGGGCAGCGGUCGCCCCCCCCGGGGCUCUGGGUUCCCCGGCCGCAAGGCGGCUGGAUCCGCUGCCCCGGGCCCAGGUGCGCGGCCGCCCCCGGCGUGGGCCCCGUGAACUCGGCGGGCAGCGCCCUGGCUCGUGGGUUUUCCGCAGCUGAGAGCGAGGUCACCCUGGCCGCGGGCGUCCUGAGCCUGGCGGCCGCGCGGGCCCUUCAGAGCUGCUGGGGAGCCCGGGGCAGGCUGCGGGCGGGGCGGGAGCCGAGGCCGGGGCGGUGGGGGGGUCCCCCCUCGGCUCUGGAACCAGCCCAGCUGCCCCCGCGGAAUCAGGGGGGCCGGGCGGCUGUCCCGGGGCUCCCGGCGCCACAGGGGCGGUGGCAGCGGCCGCCCGUGGGUGAAGCCAGCUCCCGAGCGCCCGGGCUGCGUGCAGGGGUGCGGGUGGGUGAGCAGAGGGGCCGAGAAGCCCCGGGUCGCGAGUGGGACGGAGAGUCCGGGUGGCCGUGCUGUGUGCUGAUGCGUGGCCUCAUGCACCCCCCGUCUGCCGCCCUGCACCUGCCCCCUCCCCCUGCACCUGCCCUCUCCCGCCACCGCCCGCUGCCCUGCAACUGCUCUCCCCCGCCCCCUCCCCCUGCACCUGCGCCCUCUCCCCUGCACCUGCCCUCCCCCUGCACCUGCCCCUCCCCCCACCGCCCGCCGCCCUGCACCUGCCCCCCCCCCCCGCCCCUUCCCCCCUGCACCUGCUCCCUCCCCGCCCCUCCUUGUGGGGCUGCUCGUGGCCCUCCUGGGGGCCUUGGCUGGUGGCGGGCAGGGAGGAGGCCCGGGCCCCACGACAGUUGCCCGCCUUGGCACGCCCGCCUGGAGGAUGCCGGGUAG